GCCUGGGUGGCUCAGUCAGUUAAGCGUCUGACUUUGGCUCAGGUCAUGAUCUUGCGGUCCGUGGGUUCGAGCCCCGUGUCGGGCU
rnacentral:tRNA from 1 species